AGGACGAACGCUGGCGGCGUGCUUAACACAUGCAAGUCGAGCGGGAAAGGCCCUUCGGGGUACGUCGAGCGGCGAACGGGUGAGUAACACGUGAGCAAUCUGCCCUUAGCUUCGGGAUAGCUCCGGGAAACCGGAAUUAAUACCGAAUAUGACUACGGUUGACAUCAGCCAUGGUGGAAAGUUUUUCGGCUAGGGAUGAGCUCGCGGCCUAUCAGCUAGUUGGUGGGGUAACGGCCUACCAAGGCGACGACGGGUA
rnacentral:rRNA from 1 species